GGCCAGGUGUGACCAGGUACUGGGGAAAAAAUAAGAAGCUGCCAUCAGUUGAGAAGAUGGCCCUGGCAACUGGCUAUCAACUGAAAAUCCUGCAAAUGGAUAUUUCUCCUGUGAAGCAGCACUGUGCCCAUCCCACUAUGAUUCAGGAGUCUCGCAGAAGACAUCAGAACACCUUUCUCUGAGUCACAGUCUGUAUCUUCUAGAAAAGGCUGUCCAUCUUCACCCCAAGCCCACUGGCUCCUGAGAUAAGACAUCCAGACCCAGUGCAGCUGGACCUGGCCCAGGAAGAUCAUGCGGUUUCUGGGAAGCACUGGAGAAGGAAAAGGCUGAAGAAAGGAAGACCGGAAAAGAAAUACAAGUCCUUCCGCCUUGGCAAAGAUGAUAGUACCGUUCCCUUCAGUGUUCUGGUUCUGCUCUAUUGGAUAAGUUCCGGUUUGACUAUGACUACGUGAAAAUGUGGAACCAGACCUUCACCCCACAUUCCAGCUCCAGCUCUACCACAGAGGAAGUGCAAUAUCACCUUCGUUAUUCAACACAGUAUGCUCCUCGUGAUACAACCAGAGUUCACAUCAGCAAUCUUGGCAGCUCUCACCACGCUGCUGACUCACGACUCUCUCAUGUCCCAAUUUCCUGUCCAUUGUUCUUUCCUCUACUUGGCCUGAUUUCUAAAGGCCUCUCUUGGUUGCAUUAAGCGGGAUUCCUGAGGGAUUCCCUUGGCAGUUACCUUGGGGGAGCUCUUAGGUUUGGGGCUGAUCCAUGUCCUCUAAAUGUAGGACUUCAAAGCUCCCAAAGAUAGGCAGACCCAGUGGGAAGCUGGGAAAUGCUCUCUGACCCCUCUGGGAGAGCUGGCAGUCAGAGGGCCUUUUGGAAAGAGUCAGACCUGAUCCAUAAGUCCCUGGAAAACACCCUGCCCAGGGAGCAAAUGCCACUGUGGCCUUGACUGAGGCUUCAGAAGAGUUUGGGAGCUGCAAUUCAUCCACACACGCAUUCAUUUUCAAGUAGUGGUUUGCAGUUCAGGCUUUGGAGCCACAUAAGCCUGGCUUCAAAGCCACUUUCCAGCUUUGUGACUUUAGGAAGUCUCUACAUUUUUAAACCUCCAUUUUUUUUCCUGUAAAACUGGGGUCUUCAUGGUACUUACUUCAUUGUGAUGUUGAGAGAAUGAAAAGAAAAAGGAUAAAUAAAUGGCUUAGCCUCGUGCCUUGGCACAUAUUGUGA
rnacentral:lncRNA from 1 species